CCUACGGGGGGCAGCAGUGGGGGAUAUUGCACAAUGGGGGGAACCCUGAUACAGCGACGCCGCGUGGGUGAAGAAGCGCCUCGGCGCGUAAAGCCCUGUCAGCAGGGAAGAAAAUGACGGUACCUGAAGAAGAAGCCCCGGCUAACUACGUGCCAGCAGCCGCGGUAAGACGUAGGGGGCAAGCGUUAUCCGGAUUUACUGGGUGUAAAGGGGGCGCAGACGGCGAUGCAAGCCAGGAGUGAAAGCCCGGGGCCCAACCCCGGGACUGCUGUUGAAACUGGGUGGCUAGAGUGAAGGAGGGGCAGGCGGAAUGCCUGGUGUAGCGGUGAAAUGCGUAGAUAUCAGGAGGAACACCGGUGGCGAAGGCGGCCUGCUGGACUGCAACUGACGUUGAGGCCCGAAAGCGUGGGGAGCAAACAGGAUUAGAUACCCUAGUAGUC
rnacentral:rRNA from 1 species